rnacentral:rRNA from 1 species
GAUGAACGCUGGCGGCGUGCCUAAUACAUGCAAGUCGAGCGAACAGACGAGGAGCUUGCUCCUUUGACGUUAGCGGCGGACGGGUGAGUAACACGUGGAUAACCUACCUAUAAGACUGGGAUAACUUCGGGAAACCGGAGCUAAUACCGGAUAACAUGUUGAACCGCAUGGUUCAACAGUGAAAGACGGUCUUGCUGUCACUUAUAGAUGGAUCCGCGCCGCAUUAGCUAGUUGGUAAGGUAACGGCUUCCCAAGGCAACGAUGCGUAGCCGACCUGAGAGGGUGAUCGGCCACACUGGAACUGAGACACGGUCCAGACUCCUACGGGAGGCAGCAGUAGGGAAUCUUCCGCAAUGGGCGAAAGCCUGACGGAGCAACGCCGCGUGAGUGAAGAAGGUCUUCGGAUCGUAAAACUCUGUUAUUAGGGAAGAACAAAUGUGUAAGUAACUAUGCACGUCUUGACGGUACCUAAUCAGAAAGCCACGGCUAACUACGUG